rnacentral:lncRNA from 1 species
UUUCUAUAUAAUAAACAUGUAUUACUUUGGUAAUAAAUAAAACAAGGGAUGAAAAUACCAAUAGUCUACAACUGUCCAUUCCCUAGCACAAGUAAAACACUCCUCAUAGGUGGUGCAUAUUACAGAGUUCUGAGCUAUCAUGUCACCUCUACCAGUGACCUACUAAACAGUAGUGAGAAAAGGGCAGGUCUGACAGGAUAAACUGGAGUAAUAAUUAGUAAGCUACGUGCUUUACAAAGUGCUUUCAUGGACAUGACCUCGUUUGAUCUUCAUAACUCAGUGAAAUGAGCAGAGAAGGCAUUAUCCCAUUUUAUAGAGGGGAAAGAGACAAUGAGCAAGGCCAGCUAAGUGUCAUGUCCCAAAAUUACAAAUCUUGGAUUUAAAUUGAGCCUUGACUAUAAAUUCUGACAGGCAUUCUAAGAGGAAUAGGGAACAAUCACUUCUGAUUAUUUAUAACUAGAAGGCAGUGAUUUAUAUGUGAAUUUAAAAAUAACCGUAUUUGCAAUUGUAUUAGUAUUCCUAUUAGAAUAUGCUGGGGGCCUCAGGGAUUUCCUAAAUCCCUAGGGCCCAACCGUGGAAGCUAUAUCUUGGCAACCCCAGCUUGCCCCUAGUCAACAUUACCUACUAAAGCACUGACAUUCAAAAAGAAUCUAAUUGCUUAGUUUUCAGAUGCAUUUCUUUCCUUCUUGAAAAACAGAAAGUAUCACCUUUUAGUUUAAAGCUGGUAAAAGAAAGUAACCAUAACUAUAUUUAUGAAUCCUGCAAAUAGUGACUUACAAGUUGAUGUCAAAAGAUCUAACUUAAUGGUACUUUAAAAUACCACCUUUUGGGCCAAACUUUUGUGUAUACCUGUAGACAAGAAACAGUCUCCAACUUCAAGUAUAUUCAGUGAAGAAAAUGAUCCAACUCCUCACAAAAAUAUCAGUAAACAUCUUUGGAGGCGUAUUAUUAACAAGCUGGUCAGCAUCUACUAGUGAAGCUUUGAAGCAUAAGGAAUCCGUAUAGCUAACCACUCCUACUAAUACUCCCAUGACUACCAGAAACUUAAAAGGUAAUUAAUUAAUGGUAGCUCUUGUUUUCUGGGCACUUCCUGUGUUAUCAGACACUCAACUAACCUCUUUAUAUACAUGAUCUUUAAAACAACCCUAUGAGAUGACUAUUAUCAACUCCAUUUUAUAGAUGAGGAACCUGAGUUUAAGUUACCCCAAAUCAUAAAACCAGUAAAAGCUUAAAGUGGAAUUCAAACUCUAGUAUAUUUUAUUUCAAAGAUGGGGCCUUUGUAGUUCUCUGGAAUACAAAUAUAACUUUUCUCUAGUGUAAGCCACCUACAAUGGUCUCAACACUUGGCAAUGAAUGGUAUGUGAAGUUCAUGAGUCUAUAUUUUCCAAAUAAAGAAAAAAUAUCCAGAGCCCACAAUUUAUGUCUGAUACUUUGCCACAUUCUAGAAUAGUUUGCUUUAAUAGCUGGUUUCUAUUAAAGCAUUGUUUUAACCCUUUUGAGCUGACAUGAUCACAUGAAAGAUAAAUUAAAAGAGUAUU